CAAGUUCAAGCGGAGAAGAAGUUGCUUCUUUGAAGCGGCGGAGGGUGAUAAUGCUAGGAGUCUGCCGGUAGUGGGGGAAACGUUCGGAGACGGAGGCUAAUACCGCAUACGUUUACGGGAGAGAGCAGGGGAGCUUCGGGCCUUGCGCUAUCAGAUGACCUAGGUCGGAGUAGCUAGUUGGUGAGGUAAUGGCUCACCAAGGCUACGAUCCGUAACUGGUCUGAGAGGAUGAUCAGUCACACUGGAACUGAGACACGGUCCAGACUCCUACGGGAGGCAGCAGUGGGGAAUAUUGGACAAUGGGCGAAAGCCUGAUCCAGCCAUGCCGCGUGUGUGAAGAAGGUCUUCGGAUUGUAAAGCACUUUAAGUUGGGAGGAAGGGCAGUUACCUAAUACGUGAUUGUUUUGACGUUACCGACAGAAUAAGCACCGGCUAACUCUGUGCCAGCAGCCGCGGUAAUACAGAGGGUGCAAGCGUUAAUCGGAAUUACUGGGCGUAAAGCGCGCGUAGGUGGUUAGUUAAGUUGGAUGUGAAAAUCCCCCGGGCUCAACCUGGGAACUGCAUUCAAAACUGACUGACUAGAGUAUGGUAGAGGGGGUGUUGGAAAUUUCUGGUUGUAGCGGUGAAAUGCGUAGAUAUUAGGAGGGAACCACCAGUGGGCGAAAGGCGACCACCCUGGACUGAUACUGACCACUGAAGGUGCGAAAGCGUGGGGGAGCAAACAGGAUUAGAUACCCUGGUAGUCCACGCCGUAAACGAUGUCAACUAGCCGUUGGGAGCCUUGAGCUCUUAGUGGCGCAGCUAACGCAUUAAGUUGACCGCCUGGGGGAGUACGGCCGCAAGGUUAAAACUCAAUGAAUUGACGGGGCCCGCACAAGCGGUGGAGCAUGGUGGUUUAUUCGAGCACGCGAGACUUACAGCCUUGACAUCAUGACUUCUAGAGAUAGAUGUGCUUCGGACAUGAACAGUGCUGCAUGCUGUCGUCAGCUCGUGUCGUGAGAUGUGGUAGUCCGUACGAGCGCAACCCUGUCU
rnacentral:rRNA from 1 species